UAAGCCCACAAAAGUCUACUGGAAACAGCCUUCAUCGACGGUGGCGUCGUUAUGAAUCAUCAGACGGUCAUAAGUGAUGACGUCUGCGAUAUCUCAGCUCGACAUUUUGAGCAUGUCGAGUUUCGUACUAACUGUCGACACUUGGUCCUUGCCAGAUGAGCGUCUUCCCUUGGAACAGUUGUCUUCUCAGCAUCCCACAAUUGGCUGAUAAUACCAAGUCCCCAAGGAAGAAUGCCAGAACUGCUGGCUCCCUGCUGAGAGGAAUCAACUUUCAAAUAGAAGCUCCAUGUUAGACAGCUCUUUCAUCAGCGUCCAUAAAAGACACACUUAACUUGACAAGGUUUGUAUGUCAUGAAAUGAAAUUCAUCAUGGAUAAACUUCUAAUGUCCUUACAGAAUAAAUGAAUUCAUGUGA